AUAAAAUAAAUAAAUCUUUUAAAAAAUUGGAAAGAUAUAGAGAAGAUUUGCAUGGACCCUGCUCAAGGAAGAUACACACAUUCAUGAAUAUUCUGAUAUUUUU